ACCGGACCUACGCUGUUGACACCGGCCACCGACCCGGUUUAAAGAAAUCAAGAAUGUCUUGGCCAUCCUCGUUUCAAGGUUUUAGACGAGACACUGAUGAAAAUGACACUGGAGGCAGUGACAGGGGAAGUGCUGCUCUGGACGCCCCACCAUCAUAACUCCUGGGCCAUACUUGUCCUCUGGCCACAGGCUGUUCUUAAAUGCCAGCACAACUGGACCAUGGAGUCCUCCACAUUGCCAUUUUGUCUCAUUAUGGGACUGUUAAUGGGAAUUUUCUGUUAAUAUGAAAUGUUUUCAGUUGCA